rnacentral:lncRNA from 1 species
AUGCGCCAGAAAUGGGAGUGCUACUUGAGUUCUUACUCUUCUGAACUGUUUGUAUCGUUCAUCAAGGAAGAUAGGAUUUAGCAUUAGUGGAAGUAAAAUACACCUAUUUCAGCAUUAAGGAAACUUCCCUCCAAAUACAUUAUUUUCUUUUUUUUUUUUUUUUUUUAAAGAUUUAUUUAUUUAUUUAUUAUAUGUAAGUACACUGUAGCUGUCCUCAGACACUCCAGAAGAGGGCGUCAGAUCUCGUUACGGAUGGUUGUGAGCCACCAUGUGGUUGCUGGGAUUUGAACUUCGGACCUUCGGAAGAGCAGUCGGGUGCUCUUACCCACUGAGCCAUCUCACCAGCCCCAUUAUUUUCAUAUAAGAAAAGGAACAAAGAAAAUAAAUAUCCCAUUGCUUCUUGGAUGAAGACCAUCUAAGUAAUAAAUAGGGACGGGAGAUGGAAUAAGGAUUAUCCGUAGGAACUCACUAAUGUUCUUUGGAAGUAAAACUGGACCGCUUUCUCUGACCACUGAAGGGAAUAACUGCUAUCAUGGGAGGAAAACAAGCUGCGAAGCGGACAGCGAAUAAAGCCUGUUUGCACCGGCUAAUUCUUGAUACUGAACCUUGGAUUCCUGUGAAUACUUGACAGGGAUCUUUGUGGUAUCUGUGCUAAAAAUAGUUCAUGUGGGAAAUUUUUACAAUGUAACUUGUGUCUUUUAGUGUACUUAAACUAAAUAUGUCUGUGGCGUUUCAUUAAGAAGUUGUUAUGUUCCAAGGAGUGAACUCUGUAAACAUUUCUAUGC